UACGAAGGGGGCUAGCGUUGCUCGGAAUUACUGGGCGUAAAGGGCGCGUAGGCGGAUACUUAAGUCGGGGGUGAAAGCCCGGGGCUCAACCUCGGAAUUGCCUUCGAUACUGGGUAUCUUGAGUUCGGGAGAGGUGAGUGGAAUGCCGAGUGUAGAGGUGAAAUUCGUAGAUAUUCGGAAGAACACCAGUGGCGAAGGCGACUCACUGGCCCGAUACUGACGCUGAGGCGCGAAAGCGUGGGGAGCAAACAGG
rnacentral:rRNA from 1 species